UUGUCGAGCCUGUGACUUUUGUCGCAGAAAGCUCGACAUAAGGAUAGUGAUCCGGCGGCGGCGUUAGCUAACUUCUUAAAAGCUUUAUAUUUUAGAAGGUGGAAGAUCUGGAUGCUUCAUACUUUGUAUAUGGAUGCCUCGUGUUACGAAGUUUCUGUCAGUCACAUGUCUAAUGUCCUUGACCUCAUUUUCAUGGUUCAGUGACUACUUGAAAAAAAAGUUAAGAUUUUUUGUAAUGUUAAAUUCUCUCUUAUUAUAAGUAAUAGGAUAACUAUAUUUGGUAUGUGCGUACCUUGCAAGGUCCUCAUGCCCGUCAGACAGUUUUCACUUGACCUCGACCUCAUUUCAUGGAUCAGUGAACAAGGUUAAGUUUUGGUGGUCAAGUCCAUAUCUCAGCUACUAUAAGCAAUAGGUCUAGUAUAUUCGGUGUAUGGAAGGACUGUAAGGUGUACAUGUCCAACUGGCAGGUGUCAUCUGACCUUGACCUCAUUUUCAUGGUUCAGUGGUCAAAGUUAAGUUUUUGAGUUUUGGUCUUUUUUUCUAAUACUAUAUGCAAUAGUUCAACUAUAUUUGGUGUAUGGAAAUAUUUUAUGAUCUAUAUGUCAGUCACGCAAGUUUUAUUAGACCUUGACCUCAUUUUCAAGGUUCAUUGCUCAGUGUUAAGUUUUUGUGUUUUGGUCUGUUUUUCUUAAACUAUAAGCAAUAGGUUAACUAUAUUUUUUGUAUGGAAGAAUUGUUAGCUGUACAUGCCUGCCUAGCAUGGUUCAUCUGACCUUGACCUCAUUUUCAUGGUUCAUUGGUCAAUGUUUAGUUUACUUGGUUAAUGUUAAGUUUAUGUGACAGUUUUAAUAAAGCUUUAUAUUUAGGACUAUCAACAUAAUAUCAAUGAUUAGUAAAGAAGGCGAGACAUUUCAGCGUGUGCACUCUUGUUUAU